GCCGGGGUAGCCUAGUCCGGAAAGGCGGCGGGCUGCAGACCCGCUAUUCGCCGGUUCAAAUCCGGCCCCCGGCU
rnacentral:tRNA from 1 species